AUUGAACGCUGGCGGAAUGCUUUACACAUGCAAGUCGAACGAUGAAGCCUAGCUUGCUAGGUCGAUUAGUGGCGAACGGGUGAGUAAUAUAUCGGAACGUAUCCAAUAAUGGGGGAUAACUAGCCGAAAGAUUGGCUAAUACCGCAUACGUCCUACGGGAGAAAGCUGGGGAUCGCAAGACCUGGCGUUAAUGGAGCGGCCCGGGUUGGAUUAGGUAGUUGGGGGGGGAAAGGCCUACCAAGCCGAUGAUCUAUAGCUGGUCUGAGAGGACGAUCAGCCACACUGGGACUGAGACACGGCCCAGACUCCUACGGGAGGCAGCAGUGGGGAAUAUUGGACAAUGGGGGGAACCCUGAUCCAGCCAUGCCGCGUGUGUGAAGAAGGCCUUAUGGUUGUAAAGCACUUUAAGCGAGGAGGAGGCUCUUUUGGUUAAUACCCAAGAUGAGUGGACGUUACUCGCAGAAUAAGCACCGGCUAACUCUGUGCCAGCAGCCGCAGUAA
rnacentral:rRNA from 1 species